GGCACCUUCGGUGUCCGAGUUGUAAUUUGAAGAUUGUAACCUUGGGGUUGGCUCUUGUCUAUGUUUCUUGGAACAGGACGUCACAGAGGGUGAGAAUCCCGUGCGAUGAGAUGCCCAAUCCUAUGUAAGGUGCUUUCGAAGAGUCGAGUUGUUUGGGAAUGCAGCUCUAAGUGGGUGGUAAAUUCCAUCUAAAGCUAAAUAUUGGCGAGAGACCGAUAGCGAACAAGUACAGUGAUGGAAAGAUGAAAAGAACUUUGAAAAGAGAGUGAAAAAGUACGUGAAAUUGUUGAAAGGGAAGGGUUUGAGAUCAGACUCGAUAUUUUGUGAGCCUUGCCUUCGUGGCGGGGUGACCCGCAGCUUAUCGGGCCAGCAUCGGUUUGGGCGGUAGGAUAAUGGCGUAGGAAUGUGACUUUGCUUCGGUGAAGUGUUAUAGCCUGCGUUGAUGCUGCCUGCCUAGACCGAGGACUGCGAUUUUAUCAAGGAUGCUGGCAUAAUGAUCCCAAACCGCCCGUUG
rnacentral:rRNA from 1 species